rnacentral:rRNA from 1 species
CUGGCGGCGUGCUCAUACAUGCAAGUCGAACGAGAAACUGACUUCGGUCAGUGGAAAGUGGCGGACGGGUGAGUAAGAUGUAGAGAAUCUGCCCUAGAGAGUGGGACAACAGAGGGAAACUUCUGCUAAUACCGCAUAUGCGCGUAGCUGAGAUGCUAUUCGUGAAAACUCCGGUGCUCUGGGAUGAGUCUGCAUCUGAUUAGCUAGUUGGCGGUGUAAUGGACCACCAAGGCGACGAUCAGUAGCUGGUUUGAGAGGAUGAUCAGCCACAAUGGGACUGAGACACGGCCCAUACUCCUACGGGAGGCAGCAGUAGGGAAUUUUGCGCAAUGGGGGAAACCCUGAACCGCAGCAACGCCGCGUGAUUGAAGAAGCCCUUCGGGGUGUAAAGAUCUGUCAGUGGGGACGAAACUUGACGGUACCCACAGAGGAAGCAUCGGCUAACUCCGUGCCAGCCGCGGC